rnacentral:rRNA from 8 species
CGCUUACCACUUUGUGAUUCAUGACUGGGGUGAAGUCGUAACAAGGUAACCGUAGGGGAACCUGCGGUUGGAUCACCUCCUUACCUGAAAGAA